AUUUAAAUAGUUUAUACAAUAAAACAUUGAUAUGUGGAAUCAAAAAAAUAAAUUUUAUAUUUUAAAUA
rnacentral:tRNA from 1 species